UACGUAGGGGGCAAGCGUUGUCCGGAUUUAUUGGGCGUAAAGAGCGUGUAGGCGGCUAGAUAGGUCCGUUGUGAAAACUCGAGGCUCAACCUCGAGACGUCGAUGGAAACCAUCUGGCUAGAGUCCGGAAGAGGAGAGUGGAAUUCCUGGUGUAGCGGUGAAAUGCGCAGAUAUCAGGAAGAACACCCGUGGCGAAGGCGGCUCACUGGCCCGGUACUGACGCUGAGACGCGAAAGCGUGGGGAGCGAACAGG
rnacentral:rRNA from 1 species